rnacentral:rRNA from 1 species
AUACGGAGGGGGUUAGCGUUGUUCGGAAUUACUGGGCGUAAAGCGUACGUAGGCGGAUCAGAAAGUAUAGGGUGAAAUCCCAGGGCUCAACCCUGGAACUGCCUUAUAAACUCCUGGUCUUGAGUUCGAGAGAGGUGAGUGGAAUUCCAAGUGUAGAGGUGAAAUUCGUAGAUAUUUGGAGGAACACCAGUGGCGAAGGCGGCUCACUGGCUCGAUACUGACGCUGAGGUACGAAAGUGUGGGGAGCAAACAGGAUUAGAAACCCUAGUAGUCC